UAAAAUCCCUUGUAAAUCUUUUA
rnacentral:siRNA from 1 species